rnacentral:rRNA from 1 species
CCCUUAGAUGUUCUGGGCCGCACACGCGCUACACUGAAGGAGGCAGCGUGUACUCCUGGAUCGAAAGAUUUGGGUAACCCGCGAAUCUCCUUCGUGCUAGGGAUUGAGGUUUGCAAUUAUCCUUCAUGAACGAGGAAUUCCCAGUAAGUGCAAGUCAUAAGCUUGCGCUGACUACGUCCCUGCCCUUUGUACACACCGCCCGUCGCUACUACCGAUUGAAUGAUUUAGUGAGGACUUCGGCCUGGGACCGAUGCGGCUUUCGGGCUGCGUCGGUAUUCUGGAAAGAUGUCCAAACUGUAUCAUUUAGAGGAAGUAAAAGUCGUAACA